rnacentral:rRNA from 1 species
UGGGGAAUAUUGGACAAUGGGGGGAACCCUGAUCCAGCCAUGCCGCGUGUGUGAAGAAGGCCUUAUGGUUGUAAAGCACUUUAAGCGAGGAGGAGGGUACUGGUAUUAAUACUACCAGGUACUGGACGUUACUCGCAGAAUACGCACCGGCUAACUCUGUGCCAGCAGCCGCGGUAAUACAGAGGGUGCGAGCGUUAAUCGGAUUUACUGGGCGUAAAGCGUGCGUAGGCGGCUAAUUGAGUCGGAUGUGAAAUCCCCGAGCUUAACUUGGGAAUUGCAUUCGAUACUGGUUAGCUAGAGUGUGGGAGAGGAUGGUAGAAUUCCAGGUGUAGCGGUGAAAUGCGUAGAGAUCUGGAGGAAUACCGAUGGCGAAGGCAGCCAUCUGGCCUAACACUGACGCUGAGGUACGAAAGCAUGGGGAGCAAACAGG